rnacentral:ncRNA from 1 species
CAUUGAUAAUAGCACAUUUAUCGAAAGGUAAAGUCGCAAAGCUAUGGGUCUAAAGAAAAUUAUUUUCUAUGAUUGCCAGGUUACCAAA